GACGAACGCUGGCGGCGUGCCUAAUACAUGCAAGUCGAGCGGACCAAAGGGAGCUUGCUCCUGGAGGUUAGCGGCGAACGGGUGAGUAACACGUGGGCAACCUGCCUGUAAGACUGGGAUAACAUCGAGAAAUCGGUGCUAAUACCGGAUAAUAAAAAGAACUGCAUGGUUCUUUUUUGAAAGAUGGUUUCGGCUAUCACUUACAGAUGGGCCCGCGGCGCAUUAGCUAGUUGGUGAGGUAACGGCUCACCAAGGCGACGAUGCGUAGCCGACCUGAGAGGGUGAUCGGCCACACUGGGACUGAGACACGGCCCAGACUCCUACGGGAGGCAGCAGUAGGGAAUCUUCCGCAAUGGACGAAAGUACUGACGGAGCAACGCCGCGUGAGUGAUGAAGGUUUUCGGAUCGUAAAACUCUGUUGUUAGGGAAGAACAAGUGCCGUUCGAAAGGGCGGCACCUUGACGGUACCUAACGAGAAAGCCACGGCUAACUACGUAGCCAGC
rnacentral:rRNA from 1 species